AGAGUUUGAUCCUGGCUCAGGAUGAACGCUGGCGGUCUGCUUAACACAUGCAAGUCGAACGCAACCUUCGGGUUGAGUGGCGGACGGGUGAGUAACGCGUGAGAAUCUGCCUUGGGGUCGGGGACAACCACUGGAAACGGUGGCUAAUACCGGAUAAGCCUUUGGGUAAAAAAUUUAUUGCCCCAAGAGGAGCUCGCGUCUGAUUAGCUAGUUGGUGAGGUAAGAGCUCACCAAGGCAGCGAUCAGUAGCUGGUCUGAGAGGACGAUCAGCCACACUGGGACUGAGACACGGCCCAGACUCCUACGGGAGGCAGCAGUGGGGAAUUUUCCGCAAUGGGCGAAAGCCUGACGGAGCAAGACCGCGUGAGGGAGGAAGGCUCUUGGGUUGUAAACCUCUUUUCUCAGGGAAGAAGCUCUGACGGUACCUGAGGAAUCAGCCUCGGCUAACUCCGUGCCAGCAGCCGCGGUAAUACGGAGGAGGCAAGCGUUAUCCGGAAUUAUUGGGCGUAAAGCGUCCGCAGGUGGCGAUCCAAGUCUGCUGUCAAAGCACGGGGCUUAACUCCGUUAAAGGCAGUGGAAACUGAAUAGCUAGAGUGCUCGUAGGGGUAGAGGGAAUUCUCGGUGUAGCGGUGAAAUGCGUAGAGAUCGGGAAGAACAUCGGUGGCGAAAGCGCUCUACUGGA
rnacentral:rRNA from 1 species